AACGGUGCGUGCAGGAGCUGAUGAUAAACCUACUGACGAGUGAUCGAAGGGAGACCUAACAGCCUUAGGUCAGAGGCGAAUGAGAGAAGAAGAGAGCAAGUGACCGUGUGGUGGAACCUUUGCCUCCGUGGGGAAGCUGCACGGAACAGAAUUGAAGGCAUCUCAUAGAUUUGCAGAAUUCUGGUUGCUCUGUUCCUGGAAGUCAGGCUUCCAAGAGGAGGUGACAUGGACGAACGGGGUUUCACCACAGAGCCAAGACAACGGGGUGGGCAACUGGCUUUCCAAUGUGUCUUCCAUGGAGUCUCUUCCCGGGGAACGAACGGAUUAAAAUCUCUGAAGGCACUGAACUCACACAGUCUUUGUCAUAUUUGAUGUCGGUGUUAUUCUGGCUCAGCAAGAAGAAUUUGGGUGAUUUUACUGCUUACUUGACUCUGA